UUAAUAGUCAUGUGACUUUUUUUUCUGCCAGCCAUGUGCUCCGUAUCAUUUUACUCUGAAAUAACUAUGCGGAUUUCAGCUCAACCCUCCCUUUGCUUAUAAUGCAUGACAUACCCCGUGAGGGAGCCUGAGAACAGACUCCCUUGAAAAGCAAGGUUCUCAUAGUUGGCCUGUAACCAUGGAAGCAGAUGCCGUUUUCUUCUUACCCUGCUUACCUCUUUGCAGCCUCGAGCUGCUCCUUAUUGUUAAAAGGGGUACGCCUUGAUUUUUCUUCAUCAUGACCGAACUUGCCUCUUCUUCAAAGGGCAUCAUGCUGCAGGUCAUUGGUCUAGACUGUUUGCACGGUCCAGAGAACAGCCUUGAUGUAACCCUUGCUCCGUCUGAGCCACACCACCAGCCGUGCAUCUGCAGACUGUAGGGGACAUUGGAGAUCUGUAUUUGAAAAGAAGUCUGUCUGAUUUUGCCAUUGUGCCUUUUCACUCAUCGAUCGAAUGAAUAUCGAACCUUCUGUCGUUGCAUGUGUGAAAUAGAUAGCUUAGCAAGCACUUUUGUGCCCAACCUGUGCAGUGGGCCAAAAGGUUUUCUUUUUAAUCUUCAGAUUUUUUUUUUCUUCAGACUUUAUGAAUUUCGUGUUAGCUUAAAUUAUUUAUAUGCCUUUAUCCAACUGUUAUGAUGACCGUUUCAGUGACUUCCUCAGCAGUGACUUUCUUUCAGGGGUAGAUGGAGCAUUUCUUUUUCUGUUAACUGCUUGGUAGCUUUUUAAGCUCCUUUAACUUAACUUGUUUAUGCUAGAAAUGGCGUAGGUUUUACUGUACUCUAUUAAGCCAAAAAGUUGAGGUUUCUUUUUUAAGGGGAAGAUGUGAUGAUUUCUAUCAUUGAACAGGCUUAAUUCCAGAAAGGUGAACUUGAACUGCCUCGAGGUAAUUUCAGUGAUUUGUAAAAGUAAGUAAAUCAAAUAAUCACAUUGAUUUUAAGUUAAACAAAAUUGUUUGAUAAGCUCUGUUUAAAGGCUUUUUUUCUUUGUUUUCCCCUGUUUAAAAAUGUGUGAAGAUGGUAUUCUCAAGCACUGAAAUAUCCUUAAAAGCACAUAAAUUCAUGGUGGUUUAUGAAAGGCACAUGAAAUUACUAUGACUCGGCAAAGGGGAGGUCCAUAGCAGAAUAAAGAAGGUUAUUGUGACAGAUGAAACAUAAUUCACAAUGAGUACUCUUUUCAUCCAGCCUUAAGCAGCAGAGGAUUACUUUCAAGCUGAAUUUUAUGGCAGAACAUAUGAACUGAGUUGUUUUUUCUUUGUUUUUUUUUUUAACAUGCAAGGAUAGAGCAAAGACAGAAAAACUCUCUUCAAUUGCGUGGUGUUUAUUUUGUGUGUAUCUCUUUGGGGCUCUUAAUUUGUUUCAUCUAAAACAGAAGAUAUGCUGGCCAGCAGAGUCUGAUGCAACCGAGGGAGUAGAUUGGGAGGGUAGGAAAUAUGAAAUUUAAAGCAAUAAAAGUUGUGGUUUUCCUGUGUAUAUAAUGAAUGAUACAUGAGGAGUUAAAUAUAUUUCUACAUUUUUGGCAUACAUAUGAAAUAAAAAUGAUACUUUUUUCAACAAAUGCAUGAGCUGCAAAACCACUGCACAUGAUUAUUUGGGCUGUGCCCUGCAAAAUGGAGGCCAACCUGGGAGCAUUGGAAAAGAUCUAAAAGGUGUUGGCAGAUACAUACCUCCAUAGAUUCAGGUGCUAUGGCUUGGAUGUGGUUUGACUGGAUCCUUCGGUGGUCAAGUGUAGCCACCUGACCUUGAACUUCUGGCCUCCAAAACUAAGCCAAAUAAACCUCUUUUCUUUAUAAGUCCCAGCU
ensembl:lncRNA